rnacentral:lncRNA from 1 species
GCAGUAUUAGCAACAGCAGCAGUAGUAGUAGUGGUUGUAGCAGUAAUAGAAAUAAUAGCAGCAGUACCAGUAAUAGCAGUAGCAGUAAUACCUACUAUAGUAGUAAUAACAGUAAUAGCAAUAGUAAACGUAAUAGUAGUAAUAGCAGUAGCUGUAGUAUUAGUAGUAAUAGUAGUAGUAGUAGUAUUAGUAGUAAUAGUAGUAGUAGUAAUAGUAGUACCUAUAAAUACUCAUGUACUUGAAGGCUUUCAACAUCAACCAU